rnacentral:snoRNA from 1 species
CGGUGUCGGUGAUGUCACCAAACCUACAUUGUUUGACUCACGCUGAGAAAAACCAAACCCUGAGACACCA